AACUGUGCAUCACAGUAACAUUCACUUUUCAUUCCUGCUGUGAUGCAGUAAUUCAGCCAGAAUGUGAUGGAUCACUAUGCCAAGAAGAGAGAUAUUUCAUGUCAAGCAGAAAUUGAAAGAUGGCAUUUUUGAGAACUGAUGUUAUUCAUUCAUCCUACAUUAGGGAAGUGUUGAUCAGGACUCUCAGACCUUCUCUGCAAUAAUAUUUGGAUUUGGAGCUUCUCUAAACAGUAGAGAAAGAAAGCACUUCCUUUUCCAAACUUCCCAGCUUCCCUUGCUUGUGUCAGCUAUUCAUCCAAACAGAGCUCUUGCUGGUGCUGUGACAUCACAGGUAUGGUCAUGGCUACAUCAGUUGAAAACAUGCAUCUAUGUCAUCCUAUUAGCAGUGGAGCUUGUCCAUUUUCCCCCACAGAAAUCCCAGGUAUAUAUUGAAAAUAAGUUCCCAUAAUUAUGUGUUAAUCUUUGUAAGUGAGUGAAGCUGAUCAUAACCAUAAGUUGAGCAUAACCACCAGCUGAAUUUUAAAGCAAUGACAUGAUUUGGAGCUGUUCUUCCAUUUGACAUUCAACACUUGCUGAGUGAGACAAUCAGGGUGGCAGUGCGGAGACUUCUUAUUUACUAUACGAUAUGGAAAACGGCACUAAGAAGAAAUGGCACAUCAAGACUCUCAGUGCAGACUGGAAAGAUAACAGAAGUAGGCCUGCAAUCCAAUAACCAACCACUCCCCAAAACGGAUGCUUUAUUUAUCCCACAUUCACUGGAAAUGAAGGGACAGGUACAGCUGAAAAGAAACUUGCCUUCUAUAAGCUAGACUUGACCAGACAACAGUGAAUUAAAUACUCUGGAAACGCCUGGGGAUUUGUACCCCAUGAAUUUUUUUAUGAGAAACUGCUGCAAAUUAAAUUGCCAGAGGAAGAGAAUGUAGAUCAAUCA